rnacentral:tRNA from 1 species
AAUUAAUGAACUUGUAAAUAAGUAUUUGUUUUGAAAACUUAAAAAAGAAUAUAAUUCUAUUAAUUU